AUGCUAUGAGCCAUGUAGCCUACUCAGCUGAUGCGAGUUGUAAACAAAAAUAUCCUCUUCAUGCUCUGAACCGUAAAUUCGUCAGUUUAACAGAUUAAGUCUCUCAGGUGACAUAAAGUGGGACAGCUGCUGCUCAAUGGCUUUAAACCCAACAGUUUGUCUUGAACGUGACCUCUCAUGGAGAGAACAGUGACGUGAUCCUCACCACACCUGAAGGUGUUCGAAUGGAAGAAUUUUGUCGAGGGAAGUUCCCUUAACAUUCCCUGAGCAGGGAGCAAGGAGUACUGUUUAUGUACACUGUGGAUCGGAACGCAGCCAUUGUUUCUUCUGAGACCGCAGAGAGUCGCCAGUCAAUAAAUGAGGUUUCUUUAGCUGUAAAACAAACACCAGGAGGGCCGGAGGAGGAAGAAGACACAUCAUAUGACUGGAAGAACGAUAAAACUACUCAAGAAGCUGUAGCUGGUGGACUUCUGUUAAUUGCUGCUGUAAUAGCUCUAGUCACUGCAGCUGAAAGAUGUGUAGCUACACUCAUUCGUCGAGUUAAAAGAAAUCUCACAGGUCAAGACCAGGAUAGACGUUCCCUCAUUGAGCUUAUCAGGAAGAUCAAAACCAAGUUACAUCCACAACCACAACUGCUCCAGGUGUGAACGGAUCCAGACAUCAAGACUUAAAAGUAUAGUCUGAAAUCUACAAUACUUACUUCACAAAGGUCUGUAUGUUUUUACCUCCUGGGUUUAAGUUGUGUGCUGUUCAGCUGCCGACUCUCAGGUCCAGAAAGCAUCAGUCCUGCAAACAGAAGAACCCCAAUGACAAGGAAGUGUUGUCGAAACAAUCUCAGACUGCAUCAGCAAUAAUAAAACAGCAGCAUCACCAUAAAACAGCCCAAUUAUGAUCAAUGCAUGUGUUUUAAAAUGACUUGUUUACUGUGAUGUACAAACCUCAAACAGGUUUAAAGUUUCUUCUGGUUGAUUCUCAAGUCAGUCUGGUCCAAACUGUCUGAAGGAAGCAACGUGAUGAAUAUAAAGUUCCUGUCAGUUCUUUUUCAUGGGAAAAGUUUCUGCAGGUUGAUUCUCACUGAAGCAUCUGUGUGCUCUACUUUUAGCCAAGUUACUAAUCACACAGACUUUUCUGCUGAUCAUUAUUCUCAGUUUACUGUGUGUAUUUGUACAUAUUUUAUUGUGUCAUACAGUAACGCUACAUUUCUAUGUGAGUGUGUUGCCCCUUGAAACUUGAGUCAGACCGUCCAUCACAGUGAGCAUCGUCUCAUUAUGUGUUAGACUGCAGGUGUCAGAAGAGUGUGCUAAACCUUUGGGACUCUGCACACAACGUCCCAAUUUUAAGCAUUUGUUUAAGUAUUGAUCUGAUUUUUGUGUCUUAUUGUUAUUUCUGCUUUUUAUCUUAAUGCAAAGCACUUUUAACUCUGUGAUGAACUUACUUUAUUUUUAAACAUAAAAUAUGAGCCCUGUUUUUUUUCUGUGUAAAUUUAUUGUGUGACUGUAGGAGCUCAGAGGGAGUGUGUCUUACGUAUGUGUAACAGAUGAUUUGUGUUUAUCAAAAUUGUAAUAUUGUUAAUAUUGUUAAUGUUUUAAUAUGUUGAAUCACUUUGUGAAUGUCCUCGGUCCUCUGGGAAGCUUGUUGGGUUGACAUGAAGAAAACUUGAGUUUCUUAUAAAGAUGCUGUUUUACUUCAACCAGAAUAAAGUGCAGCAGGUAACCAGACA